UACGUAGGGGGCAAGCGUUGUCCGGAUUUAUUGGGCGUAAAGAGCGUGUAGGCGGCUCACAGGUCCGCUGUGAAACUCGGAAGGCUCAACCGUCGAGCCUGUCGGUGGAACCGUGUGGCUAGAGUCCGGAAGAGGAGAGUGGAAUUCCCGGGUGUAGCGGUGAAAUGCGCAGAUAUCGGGAAGAACACCCGUGGCGAAGGCGGCUCUCUGGGACGGUACUGACGCUGAGACGCGAAAGCGUGGGGAGCGAACAGGGA
rnacentral:rRNA from 1 species